GCACGGCAACGGCGGCACCGUCUACAAGGCGCGCCACCGCCGGUCAUCGCAGCCGCUCGCGCUCAAGAUCUUCGCGGCCGGGGACCCCUCCGCGGCGCGCGAGGCCGAGAUACUCAUGCUCGCCGCGGACGCGCCCCACGUCGUGCGCCUCCACGCGGUGAUCCCGGCGGCGGCGGUCGCUGCGGGGGAGGCGCCCGCGGCGCUGGCGCUGGAGCUCAUGCCGGGGGGCUCCCUCGCGGGCCUGCUCCGCCGGCUGGGCCGCCCGAUGGGGGAGCGCCCCAUCGCCGCCGUGGCGCGCCAGGCGCUCCUCGGGCUCGCGGCGCUGCACGCGCUCCGCGUCGUGCACCGCGACCUGAAGCCGUCGAACCUGCUCGUCGGCUCUGACGGCGAGGUCAAGAUCGCCGACUUCGGCGCGGGCAAGGUGCUGCGCCGGCGGCUCGACCCCUGCGCGUCCUACGUCGGCACCGCGGCGUACAUGUCCCCGGAGCGGUUCG
rnacentral:lncRNA from 1 species